UUUUUUUUUCUAGUGUGAUUUGUAUUUAGUUGAAAACUAAACUUAAGAUAUAUGAACUCUUGAUACAACUCUUUUUUGACAUUGCAAAUCUACAUUUAUCUUUUAACUUUUAAUUAAAUUGUUGCAAUUUCUUCAAAUGUUAAUUAGAAAUUCUGGUAUUCUUUAUAUUUUAUUCAAAAAACAUUUUUUAUUAUAACGAGUAUAGGUUUCCACAUAUGCUAAAAUUUGGCUUGCAUUGUGACACUAAACAUGUUCAAUUUAUUAUGUCAUACGAUUAUAUGUGUUGUAUUAUUUAUAUAUCAUAGAGUGAAUAUUGAUAUGACAUAAUGUUUCAGUAAAAACAUAUAUACUUGUUUAAAAUGAUAAUUAUUGAAUUUAUUAUCACGAAGUAUAGAUAUAAAGUGUUAUUGCAACAUCGUUUGCUAUGUGAACAUUUUCCAUGUUUCAUAACUUUUAAAAUAAAUGUUAUCCAAAUUUAUACAUGUUUAUUUGAUAUACAUGGUGCAACAUUGCAUUUAGUUAUUUUAUUUCACGAUUAUUGAAUUAUGAAACUUAGAAAUAUAUACAUGUACCAUACUUUUUGUUAAUAUUGAUAUUUUUAAUAUUAUAUAUUACUAUUUACACGUCAAUUUUAGAUAUGUUUUGUUUAUCUUCAAUUAUGGCUAAGGUACAUACAAAUAUAAAGUUAAUGCCUUGCAUUAUAUUUCACAAAGACAUAAAUGGAUAGGUUCAACACGAACAUAUAAUAUUAAUUUGCAUUAUUUUUCAUAAUGAUAAAGGUGGAGAAUUUAUAAUUAGGAGGCAUUUUAAAUUAUGUUCCAUAAGCGUAUAUUGGGUAGUUUAGGUACAAAGUUAGAAUAUUAUUUUGUAUUAUCUUUCACAAUGACAAAAGCAAGGUAAUUUAGACACAAUUUUAGGGGUUUAUUUAAAUUAUGUUUCAUAAUCGCCAAGGUGGGUAAUUUGGAUGAAAAAUCAGGGAGUGAUUUUGAAUUAUUUUUUAUGAUGACAUACAUGGGUAAUUUAUAUACAAAUAUAGAGGGUUAUUUUGAAUUAUCUUUUGUAAUGUCACAAUUGGGUAAAUUAAAUGCAAAAUUAGGGGUUACUUUAUUGUAUUUUCAUAAUGGCAGUAGUGGGUAAUGUUUUAUAAACUAUAAUAGAUGCAAUGGCUAUUAUCACUGACGAUAUUAGAGUUUAUCAAAUGAAAGGCUAGUUGUUUUUGAUUAUUGUCAUAAUUUGGAGGAUUUUGUUGUGUCUCUGUUGGGGUCUCUAAUUAGAAUUUAUAGGAUUUAUCUUUUUUUCUAGUGUCUGGUGAGAAUUAACGUGGUAUCUCUGUUGGGGCUUGUAAUAAUAAGAUUGGUCACAGCAGGCAGUGAAUCAUUCAGGCGGGUUCAGAGUUUAUUAGCUGAGAAUAUGUCGUGCAGAAUAAUAGUGCUGAUUUUGCUUCAGAUUAGGAAUCUCCGUACUUCUAUAGGUCAUAGGAGCAACGAAGGGGAAAUUCGUCAUGAACAUAGCUAUACUUUCUUACUUUUGUAUCCCAAGAAACACUCGUGCUUUUUUCUUUCCUUUUACUUAGGCCUUAUUUAGUUCACUUCAAAAACCAUAAAAUUUUCAAGAUUUCCCAUCACAUCGAAUAUUGCGGGACGUGCAUAGAGCAUUAAAUAUAAAUGGAAACAAAAACUAAUUGUACAGUUUGCCUUUAAAUUGCGAGACGAAUCUUUUAAUCUUAGUUACUCCAUGAUUGGACAAUGUUUGUCAAAUAAAAACGAAAUUGCUACAGUAUCAAAAUCUAAAAACUUUUUGAAUCUAAACAAUGCCUUAGUUGCAUAUGCAUAAAGUAUAAUAUAAAAAAGGAUGAUAAAAAAUUGUGUGCUAGAGGUCGCAUACGUUUCUUCUUGAUGUGCUUUGCAUUUGUAGCAUAUCACAACACUGCACGGUAAAUUAUUUUUUGUCUAAUUGGCCUGAAAUUCUUGCAGGCUGUCAGAGAUGUGAAUGAUGAGCCGCAGGUUGAAAAUUUAAAGGAUAUUGGCUUGAUACUUGUAAAAAAAUGUGAUGGUUUACCUCUUGGGAUCAAAGUAAUGGGAGGUCUCCUGAGUCGGAAAAGGAUAACACGAACCGACUGGCAAAAGGUCUUAGAUGAUUCUCUAUGGUCAGUAUCACAAAUGCCUCAAGAGCUAAAUUAUGCAGUAUAUCUUAGCUAUGAAGAUCUAGACCCUUGUUUGAAGCCUUGCUUUUUGCACUACUCCCUCCUUCCAAGGGGCAGAUUGUUUUAUGAUUAUGACAUUGUUGCCAUGUGGAUUAGUGAAGGAUUUGUUCAUGGAAUUUCACGUGACUUAGAAGACAUAGGAAGGGAAUACUAUGACGAGUUAAUACAGCGGAACCUUAUUGAGCCAGAUAUGAAGUUUAUUGAUCAAAGUGUUUGCAACAUGCAUGAUGUUGUCCGGUCCUUUGCUCAGAACAUGUUCCGAGACGAAGCACUCAUAACUCACAAUAGUAGAAUUGGGAUUGACAAGCUUAAAGCACAAAAGUUUAUUCGGUUAUCUCUCGAAAGCAAACAAUCGGAACAACCUGAUUUGGAGUGGUGUUCUCUACAAACACAAAUGUCACUGAGAACAAUGAUUUUAUUUGGUAAUAUAAAGAUUCAACCAGGUGAUUCAUUUCAUUCUUUUUCAAGUCUCCGAACACUACACUUGGACAGUGUAAAUAUUGUUGCAACACCCAAAUCUUUGUAUCAGCUGAAACAUCUGAGGUAUCUGUCAAUAGGAAAUAGUAAUAUAUCUAAGUUAUCAGAAGACAUUGGCAAGUUGAAAUUCUUGCAGUACAUUAGCCUUUCCGAUUGUCAGAGUUUGACCAAGCUUCCCAGUAGCAUCGGGGUGCUACAAGACUUGAGAUUUCUCAGUCUUCUCAGAACAAAUAUAAGUGUUGUACCAAGGGAGUUUUGUGGUCUAACUUCUUUGAGGAAAUUAUACGGAUUUCCAGCCCACAUGGACUGUGAUCACUGUAGUUUGGAGGAACUAGGGUCUCUCUCCCAGCUAACUGAACUUGAUAUCAGUUUCUUGGAGAAUGUAGCUUCUUCCUCAUCUGCUAUAGAGGCCAAACUUGGUGGAAAGAAGCGCCUAAGGUAUCUCUCACUUCAUUGCACCAGUAGACUUGGAGAUGAUGGCCUAUUGGUAAAAAAGGAAGAAGGGAUCUCUGAGAAAGCGAAGAGACAAAUCGAGGAGGUCUUUGAUGAGCUCUGCCCUCCGCAUGGCUUAGAACACCUUUCAGUCAACGGGUAUUUUGGUGAGCGGCUCCCAGGUUGGAUGAUGCCAGCAGCAGCAUAUAUGCCGCUUAGGAGCUUGAGGACUCUAAUGAUGGAUGACUUGGCCUGCUGCACGGAGCUUCCUAGUGGCAUGAGUCAGCUACCCUGCUUGGAGCUUCUGCAGAUUGUUCGUGCCCCGGCCAUCAAGUGUGUUCGCCUUGAAUGCCUACAACCAAACAAUCAAGUAGGUGUUGCGUUUCCCAGUCUACAGAAGCUGCGUUUUGUGGGAAUGUUCGAAUGGGAGGAAUGGGUGUGGGAGGAACAAGUGAAAGGCAUGCCUAUCUUGGAGUUGCUUAAACUGAAAAUGUGCAAGUUGAGGCGUGUGCCACCAGGCCUGGCCUUCCACGCAAGGGCUUUGAAGAAUUUAUAUAUAUAUGAUGUGAAGCAUCUAAGCUCUUUGGAGAACUUUGCUUCUGUGGUCCACCUCGAUGUGUUUAGAAACACUCACCUGGAGAGGAUCAGUAAUCUACCAAAACUGCAGAAGCUUGUCAUUCUCAUGUGCCCAAAGCUGAAGGUAGUGGAUGGCAUGCCUGCACUCCAGAGACUCGAACUGGGGGAUUAUGACAUGGAAACAGUCCCUAGGUAUCUGCAGGAUGUAAACCCAAGACAUUUGCUGCUGGAUUGUUCCUUAUCGCUGCUCACGUGUAUAGCAGCAGGAAAAUCUGGUCCUGAAUGGGAUAAGUUUCGCCAUAUCCAGCAAGUCAAAGCCUAUGCAAAUGAAGAAGGCUGUCCAAGGAAGUGGUAUGUGCUCUACACAAGGAACCCUUACCGCUUCGAGACAAAUAUCAGCCGCUCUGCUAUUGCCCAAGGUAAAUUAACACAGCCGCCUUCCAAUGUAAUUUAUUUUUUGGCACUCUGUUUUCCUCGGUUUCCUUCAAUCAGUUCAAUUCAUCUUCUGCAGCUCACGGACGCCGCAUAUGGCUUGCUUACUCGGAAACAUGUCCCAUUGAAGAUGAGUGGCCCACAGGAGGACACACGUAUGUAGAAAAACGUAUGCCCCUCUGCGUACGCUUCAGGUAAAAAAGUUGGCUACACGUUGAUUGCUUCCCUCUGUUUCAGUAAUUGUGCAUGCUUACACCUCCUUGACACGUGAUUAAUUGAACAUGGCAAGUUCUUUACCAUUUCAUUUCGUCCGUGCAACGUAUUUUUGCAACAUGUGCAGGUGCAACGCCUAUCGCCACUUGAAUGGCUGGUUUGAUGAAGCGUGCCUGCACUGCCAUGAAGCCGACAACAUCGCUUCCCCAUCUGAUCAGUGGACCCAAGGAGAAGUGCUUUCAGCCCGUAUAAAGACUGUUUGGGCAUGAGUGGAGGAAACGUCUUUAGUUUAGUGUGAGUAUGUGCAUCUUGGCUAUUCCUUGAUCUGCUUCUGUACCUUGUGUAUAAGAUCCUCAGCUUGUGUAUGUUCAUUUUACUGCUUUUUAGGGGCUUGUGUUCGAUCUUAUACUGUAACAUCUAGAAUACGUUUAUUGCGUUAGAAGUGUAAAGUGGUAUAAUAAUAAUAAUUGUAAUUUUAUCCAUCACUCAAAUGAAUGAUCAGAGAUUUUAGAUGCGUAGAGCUCGUCGAAUGCUUUCAGUUGCACUACUCAUAUGUAUUGUUUGGAAUUUGGAUCAUGGAGAUAUAAAUUUCAGAAGUUUUAAGAAAGAAAAAAUAAACAGGACCUUUUACUGUAGUGUGACGCGUGGUGGCCUUUUAUAUCCGCUCCAAGGCCUUUAGGUUCCAUCCAUAGCUUUUCAUAUUCAGGAUAAAAAAAAGAGGAGAGGGGAGAAAAGAGAAAGGAGAAGGGAGAAGGGGAGGAUAGGGCCUAGGGUUUUGCCGCCGUCGUAGCCGCCGCCGCCGCUGUCGGUCAUCCGUGGUGGUCGUUCUUCCUUCCGUGGAAAAUACGGUUUGGUUCUACCUUGUAUCUUGGCUGUUCCAUUGAUCUACCAUGUCCCUUUUACUGUCCAUGAGGGCUUAGCCAUGUUUGGCGUAGAUCGGAAUAACAAGGCUUUUAUGGCGGCAAGGAUCGUGGCGAGUUGGAUCGGAGAUAAUGGAAAGGUGAAGAGGCGGAGAAGAAGGAGUAGACGCCAGGAGUUUCGGCGUCGUGCUCGCUGUGGUUCUCUAGGUGAGAAGCCAAAUAUUAAUCCCCUUCAUCUGAUCAAGUUUUGCGGAUUAAAUCGCUUAUUUGGGAUUGGGUUUAGUGGAGAAAUUCUUGAAGUCAUUUUCGUUCAUGUCCUGAAAUUCUCGUCAGACUGAGCAGUCACUGUUCAUCGUAAUGUUAGGGCAUUUUAGAGGCUUUAAUAAUUUUUGAGCCUGUGGACAAAGUUGUAGAGGACUUCAAUAUCUUUCUUUAGACGCCAAGAACUCUGUCAGAGCAGUUAUAAUUUGUGAGAUAUCGAGUUUUCAAUCUGACUGUUUUCCAGUGACGAAAAUCUGGACAGUUUUGGAUCUAAACAGUUUUUGACCCUGUUAAUGAAAUAAUUAGGUCUUUGAUUAUUAACAAAUGUUUUAGGAUUUUUGUUAAGCUUUCUAUAUUGGUAAAGUUUGUAACUUUUGAAUAAGUAUAUCACCAGUUAUGAAUUUUUGAAGUUUGAUGUUCUGUUUUGAAGGUCAGAAAUAUUCAGUUGUGUUCUAUGGUUAAUUAUACCAUCUUGCAGAUCUCUGAUGCAAAACCUUACAAUACAAAAGUUGUAUAUAACAGAGUUUUACAUGAUCUGAUAAAUUAUGGUAAUUUUUGGAUGAGUAUUCUGAAGUAUAUGAAAAAGAGAAGAGUCGGUGCUGCUGUCUUGAUCGGUAGCGCAAACGGUAGAGGCUUGAAUGUCGGGUUUGGGGCGCAUUAGUGCGUAUUUGUUCUUACUCUUGCUUGUAUGUUGGUGUAUGUACUGAGUAGUAUUUGUGAUCAGGUGGUAGCACUUCGGAACAUCGCUAGUGUUUUUGUUCUCCUUCGGUAAAGAGGCAAGUGAAUGUAGCGGUGGUUUGCUACCGUUUUGGCUUGUUAUUUUUAUCACCUACAGUUUAUUGUCUAUAAGAAUGUCAUCCCUCUCAUAUCUAAAAUUUAUGAUUUUGGUAUAUUUAGUCUUAGUUAAAUUGUGGUCUUAUUUAAGUAUUUAUGGUGAUGGUAUUAUUUUAUAUUGUUAUUUGUGGCUAGCCCACAAACCUGAAUUUGAAGUCGGAGUAUCAUUGGUGAUUUAUUAAUUUUAUUGCAACAUACCAAGUGCAUUGCAUCAUUCAUUGGCAUUGGAAGUUAUGUCUUGACCUAUGGUCAUGACUGUACCGGUAUGCAUCAUGGGAUGCAGCUCCACACCUUAUUGGGUGUGCAGGCAGGAGACAUAUGCAUUGCAUUCAUAUGCAUUCAUGAGAAGUAUGUUAUUGAAGAGAUUUUAUCCACGUUAUUAUGAAGCUCUGUAUUAUUGGCUAUGUUCCAAAUUGGAAGACUGUUACUUUUAGUAUGAUAUUAUGUCAAUUGAGAACAUCAUAUUAAAUUGAUGUUAAUUCAAAUUGUGGUUUCAAUAGCUUGUCAAAACAAGUUCGCUUGCUGAGAUGUUUCGUCUCACCCUUGCUUUACUCAAUCCAGGUACUUGAUGCUUACUUGGAAGGGAAGAGACUUAGCUGCACGUCACACACGUAUUCAUUUAGAGACCUUGUGUUUUAAUAAAUAAUAAUUUGGUUUGCUUAUUGGUUUUGAAGGCGGUUGUUAAAGUGUGGGUGUUAAACUUAAUUCUUGUUGAAGUAACUUAUUUGCGUUAGGAUGUUCAUUAAUCCUAGUUUGGUAUUUUAGUAAUUUUUUUUUAUAUUUUAUUCUUCCGCUUGCUAUAAAUACAAAGAAGAUACUGUCAAAUUGUUUAUGGUUGUGUGCAGCUGUUGUUUGUGUAGUCUAGUAGCAUCCCGGUGUAUUUGUGGUUUUCGGGGUGUUACAUAUACAGUAUGGACACAUGCCACAUUGCAGAAAUAAAUGUUCUAUCUGCUACUGAACAUGUACACAGAUUGCAAAAUUAUAUGUUCUGUAAUUUCACUAUUUUAUCAGGCUUACGAUAGUGAAUGGUAAACUGGUUGUGAUGUCAUCAAUGGACUCAUGGCACACUGCAAAUACAUAUGUGUUACAUUUCUUAUGAACUUUUAUGUUUUUUUAUUCUGGAUUGGAGCAUGCUCGCACUCCAAAUCCUCCAAUAGCCCUUUGCUCAGUGGAGACAAAUCUAUAACCAGGUGUGCCCGGAGGAUAUCCCAGCUGCCCGUAACCAAAUUCCUCCAAUUACUAGUUUCCUGGGCUCCCUGGAAAUACCAGAAUAUUGUGGUGUCCAACCACCUCCUGCUGUCAAUGAGAAAGCUGGCACCUUCGAUAUCACUCUUGCGAUCUUGGCGAGCAGGUCACUGACAUCUUGGUGGGCACCAUUAGUUUUUGUUUUUAUUUAAAUUUAAUGCUAUAUACAUGUACCGUAAGAUUCGAUAUGACGAAAAAUCUUAAAAAAAUACAAAUUUUUUUUGGGAAGCCCUAGGCACCCCAAACCAGGUGAGGUCACACGGGCCUAUGCGAGAUCCGGCGUGCCAGCAAACUGGCUCCUAACAGAGUGUUCGAUGACAGAAUAAUUCCCAUCCCCGCCAAUACCAGUCCUAUCCAUGAAAAGGCGAAGAAGGCCCACGUCGGCAUGCUCUGUCGCUAGUCCCCACUAGCGCCUUCUGCGGGUCCCGUCACCAGUCCUCGCUGAUCGGUCUCUCAUCUUCUCCACCGGGACCCCUCGCCGCCGUCUCCUCUGCCUCUCAUCUUCUGCAACAACGGGUAGGCAAAGAGGUGGCAUGUGUGGCUCGCCGGCCGUUGAGCCGAGGCAGAGCGCGCGUCUCGGCAUCAAAGACAAAGGAUGCACGGGAGUCAAUUGGAAGUCGAUGCAGGAGGAGCGUAGGAGAGAGAAGGCACUGUGCUAUAUGUUUUUUUUUUGUUAUUUAUGGUGCAUUGUUGGUGAGCGUGAUGAGUCCUAUCCUACAAUGAGACUUAUGAGCAGUUUGGGAGUGUACCCAAACUAAUUUUGGGUUGGGUUGAAGUGAACCCAUCACGCCUUUGGGUAGAAGGACAGGGUUAUCCCAUAUUUUUUAUUUGGUUGGAGAUAAACUGUGUCGGGGUUUGGAUUCAUGACACGUGGGUCCUGCAUGUCAGCCUUCUAUCAAUUCUUCUCCCAUGGGUCAUCCUUUGAUCGUCCCUGACACCGCCGCUCUCUGCUCCCACACUAUCGUGGCCCUCUACAACCAAUGCAUCUCGCUCGCGCAGCUCUCUUGGCUUGCCUGCGCAUGGGCACAAUUGCCACGUCUGGCCAUAGAAGAGACCGUGUUCCGACUAUCGGAUCCCUACGUCCAGCAAUGGUUGUUGUUUAUAUUCAAUUCGAGAGCACCCAAAUCAGGGGUUACAAUGAAAGAGAGUGAAUCGACACGAGAUCACUCGGUGCUAUCAAGCCUCGUUGGUGGCGAGGAAGAAGAAAUGUUCCCCUCUCUCACUGGAUUGCUAACCAUGCCUACAAAAAGGAUGGAUACAAAACUCCCCGAUUUCUAGGAAGCCCCUACAAUCGAUUUUCAAGCCGCCUCUACAAAUCAAUUUUCAGAAAUCAUGCGAUUUUAGGCUAAAAAAUAGGAACAAAAAGUGGCACCAUUGGUCCACCAACCCUUCCCCUCACACAUAUCUUCCUCUACCACUGCACCCUACACUCAAUGUGUCUAUAACCUAUUUUUGGCUUGCAGCAUAAGCCACAAUAUUUUUUGUACACUUUGUGGCCGACGGGAUUUGAACCCAUGACCUUCCCCUCACAUGUAUCCUCUUCUACCACUACACCUCACACUUAAUCU
rnacentral:lncRNA from 1 species